GAUGAACGCUGGCGGCGUGCCUAAUACAUGCAAGUCGAGCGAACGGACGAGAAGCUUGCUUCUCUGAUGUUAGCGGCGGACGGGUGAGUAACACGUGGAUAACCUACCUAUAAGACUGGGAUAACUUCGGGAAACCGGAGCUAAUACCGGAUAAUAUUUUGAACCGCAUGGUUCAAAAGUAAAAGACGGUCUUGCUGUCACUUAUAGAUGGAUCCGCGCUGCAUUAGCUAGUUGGUAAGGUAACGGCUUACCACGGCAACGAUGCAUAGCCGACCUGAGAGGGUGAUCGGCCACACUGGAACUGAGACACGGUCCAGACGCCUACGGGAGGCAGCAGUAGGGAAUCUUCCGCAAUGGGCGAAAGCCUGACGGAGCAACGCCGCGUGAGUGAUGAAGGUCUUCGGAUCGUAAAACUCUGUUAUUAGGGAAGAACAUAUGUGUAAGUAACUGUGCACAUCUUGACGGUACCUAAUCAGAAAGCCACGGCUAACUACGUG
rnacentral:rRNA from 1 species